GAACGCUGGCGGCAGGCUUACACAUGCAAGUCGAGCGGUAACAUUUCUAGCUUGCUAGAAGAUGACGAGCGGCGGACGGGUGAGUAACGCGAAGGAAUCUGCCUAGUAGUGGGGGACAACAUGUGGAAACGCAUGCUAAUACCGCAUACGCCCUACGGGGGAAAGGAGGGGAUCUUCGGACCUUUCGCUAUUAGAUGAGCCUGCGUGAGAUUAGCUAGUUGGUGGGGUAAAGGCCUACCAAGGCGACGGUCUCUAGCUGGUCUGAGAGGAUGAUCAGCCACACUGGGACUGAGACACGGCCCAGACUCCUACGGGAGGCAGCAGUGGGGAAUAUUGGACAAUGGGCGCAAGCCUGAUCCAGCCAUGCCGCGUGUGUGAAGAAGGCCUUAGGGUUGUAAAGCACUUUCAGGAGUGAGGAAGGGCGUGCAGUUAAUACCUGUAUGUCUUGACGUUAACUCCAGAAGAAGCACCGGCUAACUCUGUGCCAGCAGCCGCGGUAAUACAGAAGGUGCGAGCGUUAAUCGGAAUUACUGGGCGUAAAGCGCGCGUAGGCGGUUUGUUAAGUCGGAUGCGAAAUCCCAGGGCUCAACCUUGGAAUGGCACCCGAUACUGGCAGGC
rnacentral:rRNA from 1 species